rnacentral:tRNA from 1 species
GGAGGGAUGGCUGAGCUGGUUGAAGGCGCACGACUCGAAAUCGUGUAUGGCGUUUGCGCGCCAUCCAGGGUUCGAAUCCCUGUCCCUCCGCCA